GAUGAGAUAGGUCGAAAGUAUAGGGUUGGCUAUGGACCCUCGACCUGUAGAAAGUGGAUUCCGGAAUCCCAUGACUUGUGAUGACCCUGGUAGAAGUUAGGGCGUUUGUGCGACGACUUCGCCGCCGAGCUUGGUACCGAGGGAGGAUUGGGGGCGAUCACGUGGAGAUCACCGCCCGGGGCUUGAACCAUUGUCGUGGCGUUUGUGCGACGAUUUCGCCGCCAGGAUGGUUAAGCCAUUUGAGGAUCAGACCGCCAGAGCAGACUGAAUCCAUGCUGGGUAAGUACGAUGCGGGUGCCUCCAGGUGGCUGAGUCUGACAUGUACCGUUGUUGGGUGUGGUGCGAUUCGUUCGCCGCCAGACGGUGUGUCAGGACUCGAGCUCACGCUGGGUAAGUGCAACGCGAUCGCCACCAGAUGGUCAAGUCGUGCGACUUGAGCCGAGCUUAGCGUGUGCGACGACUUCGCCGCUAGGGGGCUGAGACAGAGAGGGCGGUAGGCUGAUGAGCAGCCAGUGCGCGGGCUAUCCGCGGAUGAUUGACUCGGAGCCGAGUCGUGUGGUUAGCUGUGAUAGGGUAGAAGAACCCUUAUGAGCUAGAGAUAGAGGCUUGAGCUAAGGUAAUAGAGACCUUAGAAGCCAGUGGACUGAGUUGAGAUCCUAAGGUAAUGGAGACCUUAGAGUAAAGUUGUAAGCUAAGAGUAGCUAAGUAAAGGGUAGAAUCAAUGAUCUACUAGUUGUUGCAUAGAGUUGCAUGAAUCUCAUAUCGCAUAUUGUGAGGCAUGGCAUGUAUUUCAAUUGAAUAUAUAUAUAUAUAUCUGUUGUAUAUUGUUGAUCUAACAUGUUGCAGUGUCUUCUCGGACCUAUCGGUCGAGCUUUUCCCUUGAGUGGCCAUACCCACUGGGAACCAUGGAGUUGGUUCUCACCCCACGUAGUUUGGGGUGUUUUCAGGUUAUACGUGUACAGCGCGGCGGCGCGAGGCGAGGGUGUAGCUCAGUAGAUAGCGCCCUACCACAGAGACCGAGGUAGCAGUACCCUGAGGCAGUCUAGUUUAGGGGACUAGAAGGCAAGAAUCAAAAUGUAUCAAACAUGUAAAUUAAAUGAUGUAAUAAUUGGAUUGUAAUUUGGAAGUAGAAUGUAACUGAAACUGAGUUGUACUAGGUGAAUGCCUGUAAUAGCUGUUAGUUUUAUGUAUUUGAUACUUCCUUUGCAAUCUGGAUUGGUAUCCGUUCCUUGUUGGAACAUUCAUUGAUUGUUUGGAUUGCGACGCCUAGAACGUACAGGGGAGACUCUGUCCACGUACAAGGAAAACCCCUGUCCGUUCGGCGGUCUGUCGUCGGCGCCGCGACCCGGUCCAAAUUGGCGGUUGGUCGCGGGGCGUGACAGGUAAAGUGGUAUCAGAGAGUAAAGUAGAAAAUGGGAAAAUGGUUUAGAUGACCUAGGAGAACCUAGGAUAGUGAAACCAUAGGAGAAUAUGGCUCGUGAGAGACGAGGACUUGUGAUUCGUGGCGAAAGGUAAUGGAUUGGGUUGUGUCGUAACCUCUAAGACAGAUAUUAGAGGUAGACUCAAGGUAUGGUUUAUUCUCGACCGAGUGUGUUUAUGUUGGGCAUGCACAACAUAAAGCCGAGUGACGAGAAUAGACGUCCUUGUUUGACUUUUGCCUGAUUGGCUUUUGAGCCGUGUUAGUGAUCUCGUGUUCGACCCGAGUUGGUCGAGAGCUAAUCGAGUUGUCCUGUUUCAGGAAAUGAUGGCACCGCGUAGGCGAUCUUCGUCUAGAUCGACGCAAGAGGGUACAAGUGGUGCCCCUGAGCAAACCGACGCGAGCGGAGACUCGGAGCUUCGUGAUCAGUUGGCCACACUCGUUGGAGUGAUGCGGCAACAAGCUGAUGUGGUGCAACGGCAACAGGAGGCUGCUAUGCGCCAAGAGGAGCGAAUGGAACGACUCCAAGAAACUGUGGAUCGGCUGGUGGCGGCACCAGUCGCGGCUCGUCGAGGACAGCCGGGAAUUGCAGCGGAGAUGUUUCCGUUGGGGGCGGGUGACCCGACCCUUGUUAGCCCAGAGGUUACGACGGAAAGGGAGCGAGCUUUAGCGGCCCUCAUGACUUUCAAGAAAUUCGAUCUGCCUACCUUCGAUGGAGAAGAUACGGAUCCGUGGGUCGUUGAGAUGUGGAUUGAUUCCAUGGAGACCCUCUUCGAGGAUCUGUACAUGUUGGAGCGAGACAAGGUAAACCUAGCCGCGCAUUACCUCAAACAGUCGGCGAAGGUGUGGUGGAAAGGCAUCAAGCGAGAUCGACUGCCUAGUCUCCCUUCUAUGACAUGGGAAGAGUUUCGGGGAAUGAUAUUCUCUGCCUAUUUCCCCGAUAGUGAGAGGCGGAAACUUCAUGAGAGGUUUCUUAGGCUGCGGCAGGGAAGUCGCACAGUCAGGCAAUACAAGCGGAAAUUUUUCCGUAUUGUGCAUUGUGUCCCGAACGAGGUGCGGGAUGACGAGGACAAGGCUGACUGCUUCGUGCGAGGGCUUCGGCCGGACUUGUACCUGGCAGUGCAGGUACUUAAGUUGCAGACUUUCGCUGAAGUCCUAGAUCGGGCCUUGUGGAUAGAACAAGGCAAUGCGUCCUGUGGGAAAGGCGCAAGGAGCAUUACAAGGAUAAAGGAAAAGGACGACCAGUCAGUGGACAUGAUGGCCAGUCAAGUUCCCAACAGACUUCAGUGAGGACGCGCUCUCGAUCUAGAGCUCCGGGGACGUAUCAUAUUCGGUCCUCGGCGAGAUGUGCAAUUUGUGGAGGCCCUCAUUUUCCACAGCAAUGUGAGCAGCGCGAGGGCAAAUGCUUCAAGUGUGGGCUGCCGGGCCAUGUGCGUGAUGAGUGUCUGCAAGGUGAUAGCCGGGCCCUGACACUAGCGACGGCCUAUUCUUCUCUGGGACAGCCCGCGGGUAUGCCACCUACGGUAUGGUCAGGGGAGCAGCCGUUGAGGACGUUGCAACCAGAGGGUUCGCGACGAGCGCCGAGUGGCCAUGGAUAGGCGACCCGAGUUGCUAUGCCUGCCGUUGUUGACGUCGUCGUGGCAGGUAUGAAUUAAUUGGGCAAUUGUAUGUUUUUGUAUGAUCUCGAGUUGUUGCAUAGCAUGCAUUCAUCGUUGGUCAGUUGCUACUAUUAUUACAUUGCAUAGUAGGGACCGAGCGGCCGAGUUGGUAGGUACCCGAGCAUGCUAGCAGGAUGAGAGUGUGGCGCCCGCUGGAGCAGGUAGAGAGCCAAGUGGUACUAGCAAAUGGCUAGUAAGGGUUCUUGGAUGAGGAUUGGACUCGUGGUGAACGCAAAAUGGUGAAGCGACUCUCAAGGCAAUGAGUAUCGAAUUGCGAGAGUUGCGCCGUGACGUUGCGAAUAUUCGAGUAGCCUGAGCAUCUCGGACAUUGUUUCGGUAGAUCGAACAGUGAAAGUAGAAUCACUGUUGAGAGAGUAGUCGUGUAGCUGCCGAAUACGGGCACGUUGGCCUCGUAGUACCUCGAAUUGAGGUGGACGAGUUGUUGCUUGUGUUGCCGGUGUGCAUGGGCUAAGCUGAUUGAUGCUGGGCUUCGGGUGAGACGCCGUAUAGGCAUAGAGCGCUCGAGUAUGGAUACUCGUGGAGUGCGGUUUCGAUUCAGCCGGUCGAGUUAAUGGCUGUAGCACUUCAGCAGGGCUGAGUGUGAAGCGGGCCAUGGAUCACUCGCGAGAGCUGGUGGCUCGCACUAGGUGCCUAGGAGCCGAUAGAGUGUGUAGCUCUGUAGAGCGUGUCAUGUAGGACGACGUUGGCGGGUAGUGCUUAGGGGCGACCCGUGCCUGGACCAUUUGUGGACUGUGGAGCCUGGGCCCAUUGGGCAGGCGCAGUCAGCUGUGAGAGACAGCGGCCCGAUACCUAUAGGUAGGGCGGAGAGCUUAGUCAAGACGGUAGUCCGAGCUUAGACCCGAGUACGUGGAAUGCUACGUAUUGGACCGUGAGAUCGAUAGUACGCCGAGUGUGUGGUGACCCGACCCGAGAACUUGACAGGGUUUGAGGACUUGGAUACUCCUGGUUGGAGUGCGCGCGAAUUCUCCGAUGAGAAUGUCGCCCGAUAUUGAUUGGGUCUGCGCUUGCGAGCGAGAGACGCUAGGCGUCGUUAAGAUGAGUUAGGCGACUAGCCUACGUAGCAUUGGUGGCCUUUUGGUCCACCUGAGGAAAGUGACGAUGGGUUUGGCCGAGAACUUUAUUAGUGAGUUUGGGCUCAGAUUCGCGAACGGAGGGUUCGCGUGGUGAUGAAUGUGGCCUGCAGUGUCAAGAGAUAAAAAGAAAGUAAAGUGGUCUCUAGGAGACACUUGAAUAAUGGAUAGCCACGCGAAAGGUUUGCAUUGAGAAUGAUACUCUCAAGAGGAUUGAGAAUCCAAGAUGCAUGAGAGGAUGCCAUCUCGGGAUAGAUGAGAAUGAGAUGGUACAGAUAAGAUGAUAAGGUGGUAUCGGGCUCCUAAAUAGCCAACGUGGUGAAGUGCCACCGAGUGGUUUCUUGAGUAAUUCGAGAAAGUCUACCCGUGCAUAUAGAAAUGUGGUGGUGGAUCAUUCAUCGAGUUGAUGCGAUCUUGCUAGAUCCACACCACAAGGACGAAGGGUAGUCCUGAUCUCGAAGGAUUGUGGUGCUCGAUUGAACCGCGGAGGAAUGAGUCCUUCCUUAAGCCGAGUGGCUUGUGAGUUAGUGUGUGGGCUCUUGAGUAUGGACUCACACCACCAUCGAGGUUGUAGAGUGGUAAUGCACUUUUGAUGUUGCAAGUGGAAAAUAUGAGUAAACGUGGUCUCACAUUUCUCGUAGUUGGCCUUUAGACGAGUCCGAUGAGAAUAAAGGCCACUCCGAGGUGCAGAAGUGCACUGGAGCCCUUGAGUACUCGAGGAGUGGAACAAGGAAUAAAAGAGGGCUGGAAAUGAGUAAGUUUCGCGGACGAAACUCUUUUAAGAGGGGGAGAAUGUCAUACCCAGGAAUUCUCCAAACCCGAGAGUCGUGCUUCGUCCGGAAUCGACCAAGGGUCGAGUUGGAAAAGCUAAUGGUGCACGAAACCCAAGUAGUGCAUUGGAAUGGAGUCCGCGAGAGUAAAUAAUGCAAUCUGCAUUUUUGGGCUGAGAUUGCUCUCGGGGACCGGUCUCUGAAGGUGAGAGACCGGUCCCAUCAGCUAAAGGCUGCGAGGUUGCUGAUGCAACCGGUCCCUGGCAGAGGAGGGACCGGUCCCAGCCUGCGACACCAGUGAGAAGAGCCAGAAAAUGGCUAAGUCCCGCGAGAUGAGCUCUCGGGGACCGGUCUCUGGUGGGCAGACCGGUCUCCCGAGGACCGGUCUCUCAGGGAGAGACCGGUUCCCGAACGCUUGGAAUCGGGGAGAGCUCUUGGGGACCGGUCCCUGGUCGGGGAGACCGGUCCCUCAGCGCGCAGAACGCCCAGUAAGGGCUAUGUAAGAGGUGAAAAGUUGAUGGGCUUUUGGGGAUAUUGUUACAAAAUGAGAGAGGGUAUUAGAGAGAGAUCUUUUCCUCUCUCUCUCUCUCUCUCCCUCAGCAUCUCUCCCUCUCUCCGAUCGUGCAAGGGAGGAGAGAAAGAAAAGAAAGAAAAGAGAAAAGGGAAGAGAAGAAGAAAAAGAGAAAGGAAAGGAAAGGAAGGAGAGGACCAAGGAGAAGAUCCUCUUCCUCAUCUUCACCUUCAUCUUCUUCUUCUUGGAGCUCUUGGAGAGGUAAGCAUCCAAGCCCUCUCAUGGUAGAUCUUUGUAGAUGGAUUUUUAAACCCUAGAAAUGGUAUUUUUGGUACCCUAGCAUGCUAUUUAGAUGCAUUCUCCCCAAAUCCUAGAUCGAUUUGGUGGAUUUGCUAGUGAGGGCAUUCUAGGGCAUCAAAAUGGAGUUUUUGUAAAUAGAUGAGUUUGAUCUCAUUUGACCCUUCGUAAACCUAAUUGGUAGGUAGCGAAACACGUUGGCGAAGUCGGUUCGACAAUCCGACAAGCCGUUGGAAAGACGUUGAAGAAACGGGCGCUCGAAGCUUUAUUUCCGCCUGGGAGGCCGAGGCGACGUCCAUAAAUCGUGGAAUCGGGUCCCGAGCACUGUAACAGCAAGGCGAAGAUCGCUAGCACUUGAACGGCGAAGCGGCGUGCUCGAGGGGAGCAACUGUGAGAUCGGGCCCGAGCGGGUGCCGAGUGCCGCGGGAGGCCGAUUGCAAGUGUCGACGAGCAAUCGAAAAAGCUAGCUAAGAUGGGUUGUGCUUACCGAAGCGACUAGGUCGCCCUUUAUGUCUUAGCAAUGUAUCUCCAUGUUGAUGCAUGUGCAUGUAGACAAGGACAAGAAAUGCAUGAUGAAUGAUAAUGCUAGCUAAUGUAAAGAAUGCAUACUAAUAGUGAUGCAUAGAUGGAAAUGCUAAAUAGAAUGCAUAAUGAACAAAGAUGCAAAGAGUAAAUGCCCAAUAGAAAGCAUGAGUUAAUAACUCUAGUGUGAGUAGAGUUGAUUGGACAACUAGGUUGUCAGGUGAUCGAGUGGCACCUAACCUAGCGUUAAAGAACAUAGGUUAAACAAGUGAACCUAGAGUCGAACAAUCUAGAUGGGUGGUAUCGAACCUAGUGUUAGUAAACCUAGGUCGAACUAGUAAACCUAGAAGUGGACAUCUAGGCAAAGAUGACAUGAACCUAGCAAGUGUAUCUAGGUUAAGUAACGUGGACAUAGAACCUAGUGUAUUGGAACCUAGGUUGAUGAGUAUAGUGGUAUAGCCACUAGGAUGAGAUAGGUCGAAAGUAUAGGGUUGGCUAUGGACCCUCGACCUGUAGAAAGUGGAUUCCGGAAUCCCAUGACUUGUGAUGACCCUGGUAGAAGCUAGGGCGUUUGUGCGACGACUUCGCCGCCGAGCUUGGUACCGAGGGAGGAUUGGGGGCGAUCACGUGGAGAUCACCGCCCGGGGCUUGAACCAUUGUCGUGAAGUUUGUGCGACGAUUUCGCCGCCAGGAUGGUUAAGCUAUUUGAGGAUCAGACCGCUAGAGCAGACUGAAUCCAUGCUGGGUAAGUACGAUGCGGGUGCCUCCAGGUGGCUGAGUCUGACAUGUACCGUUGUUGGGUGUGGUGCGAUUCGUUCGCCGCCAGAUGGUGUGUCAGGACUCGAGCUCAUGCUCGGUAGGUGCAACGCGAUCGCCACCGGAUGGUCAAGUCGUGCGACUUGAGACGAGCUUAGCGUGUGCGAUGACUUCGCCGCUAGGGGGUUGAGACAGAGAGGGCGGUAGGCUGAUGAGCAGCCAGUGCGCGGGCUAUCCGCGGAUGAUUGACUCGGAGCCGAGUCGUGUGGUUAGCUGUGAUAGGAUAGAAGAACCCUUAUGAGCUAGAGAUAGAGGCUUGAGCUAAGGUAAUAGAGACCUUAGAAGCUAGUGGGCUGAGUUGAGAUCCUAAGGUAAUGGAGACCUUAGAGUAAAGUUGUAAGCUAAGAGUAGCUAAGUAAAGGGUAGAAUCAAUGAUCUAC
rnacentral:lncRNA from 1 species